rnacentral:rRNA from 1 species
UACGUAGGGUGCAAGCGUUGUCCGGAAUUAUUGGGCGUAAAGAGCUCGUAGGCGGUCUGUUGCGUCGGCUGUGAAAACCCGGGGCUCAACUCCGGGCCUGCAGCCGAUACGGGCAGACUAGAGUUCGGCAGGGGAGACUGGAAUUCCUGGUGUAGCGGUGAAAUGCGCAGAUAUCAGGAGGAACACCGGUGGCGAAGGCGGGUCUGUGGGCCGAUACUGACGCUGAGGAGCGAAGGCGUGGGGAGCGAACAGG